rnacentral:rRNA from 1 species
UACGUAGGGGGCAAGCGUUGUCCGGAAUUAUUGGGCGUAAAGAGCGUGUAGGCGGUCCGGUAAGUCGGCUGUGAAAGUCCAGGGCUCAACCCUGGGAUGCCGGUCGAUACUGCCGGGCUAGAGUCCGGAAGAGGCGAGUGGAAUUCCUGGUGUAGCGGUGGAAUGCGCAGAUAUCAGGAGGAACACCAACGGCGAAGGCAGCUCGCUGGGACGGUACUGACGCUGAGGCGCGAAAGCGUGGGGAGCGAACAGG